rnacentral:rRNA from 1 species
CCCCNNCCCCCCCGCAUCCCUUCGGGGAGGGGAGGGACCAUCGCGGGGCGGAUGUUGGCCUCCCGUGCGCCUCUGGCUCGCGGUUGGCCUAAAAAAGAGUCUCGAGCGACGCCGCGUCACGGCUUGGCGGUGGUAGAGAAAGCCUCGUGCUCCCUCGUGCGCGCGUCGCUCGCUCGCGGCUCACGGACCCAACGAUCGAUCGAUCGAGAUGCGACCCCAGGUCAGGCGGGACCACCCGCUGAGUUUAAGCAUAUCAAUAUGCGGAGGAAAAGAAACUAACAAGGAUUCCCCUAGUAACGGCGAGCGAACCGGAAA